CCAAUCUUCGCAAUGCGGGUUUUCCCCAUUGCGACAAUCGGAUAUGUUUCCAUACAGCGAUCCCGAAAAAGGGAUCGCUAUACGGAAACAUCGCUAUACGGUGCACUCGUUAAGCGAGGCACCACUGUACCAGCAGUUUGGUAUAUAUAAAAAAACUAACACUAGUUUUAAAAGAACAGAAUUAUGAUGAUGGCCUUCAAAACUCUGGUCUCUCCUAUUUGCUAUAUUUAAUGUUACCAGAGAGAGUGACAUAAUUGUGAGUAGUGGGGCUUGGCACCCCAUCAUUAUGCUUUAUCAUGUCAGUUGUGUCUCUGUCUCUUUAGUAUGCAUAUUUUUGGCAUGGUGCCUGUUUGACUGUAUCUUGAGAAUCUACAACAGGAAGAAGGGAGUGGUGUUGUGCUUAGUUAAACAGAUAGACACACCGACAGUAUAAUGCAAAGGCUUUAAUUGAGUUUGUCCGGUCUCUCUUAUUUUGAUCCCCAGCACACUGGGGUUAAUAUUAGACAGCAAAUUCUCUUAGUUUUAACUGGCUGCUUUAUAUAAAUGUAUGUAAUAUAUAUAGGCUGAAAUCCUAUUGCUUAGCACAGUAAAUCACAACUAGAGUAGGCCCAUUGAAUCAGUGCAGAUUUGGUGAGAAAACCCUCAUAGGUUUCAUUGAUUUGGAUGGGCCUACCCUAGUUGUGACUUGCUGUGCUUUGGCCAGGCUUUAUGAAGUCCCCAUCCCACAGCUCCUAUUUCUGAAUGAACCGAAGCACAUAUAUAUCUGACUUCAGCUACACUGGCAAGGGCUCCUCAGAGCCUCCUGGCCAAGAGCAGACUAACAUCUCUUCUACUCUGGGUCCUCUUCCUCUUUUCCUGUCCCAUCUCCAGUCCCCAUUUUUGUUCCUUAAGAAAUUACUUCUUGUCUCUCCCUCUUUCUCAGUUCCUCUUCUUGUUCUUUCUGUAUGAUAUGUAACAGUAACAUCUGUAGCUCACUGGUACCUCUAUUCUUAUCAUAUGUUUUGUAUGAUGUCAAAUAGCACCCAUACAGUUCUGAAGUAGAAGAUAAAAUUGUUCCCUUUCGGGUUUUCCAGAGCUCUCAUGAGAGAGAAGAAAAAGCAUUUCUUUCUGUUUUGAUCCAUUAGUCCUGUGAACAAGAGUUCAAUUUCUGCCUUUCAUAGCCAUUUCCUGUUUUCCUGGUCUGGCAAUCAGUUUCCUUUCUGUGAGAGAGGCUCUUGAGAUCCUCCUGCGCCUGCAGGAUGAACCCUUGCAUAGCCUGAUUCUCAUGAUGCUGUUGUGCUUCUCUGUGACUCCUGGCCAAAUAACAUGUAUCUGCAAUGCAUUCUUCCCUGGUCUUCCGCAUUUCAUCAUAGUUUCUGUGUCCCAGCCAUUUUGAGCAACAAAGGUCUAUUCUAAACUUUUUCUUUUUACUCUUGCAUUAAUUUUAAAAAGUUAAACCAUUUAUUAGUUUGCAUAAUUUCAUUCCUUAUCCUGCAGGAUGGGGAAGGGGGAGGAUUAUAUUAUUUCUUGAAUUUGUGAUACUGUUGCUUUUAUUGAUAGAGUAGCUGACAAUGUUACCAACUUGGCAUAGUGUUUGUACUUCUAUUGGAAAAAUAACAGAUAGCCUUAUUGUCUCAAUUUGUUGUGAUAGGAAUGACAGAACUGAUACAGCGGGAAGAGUAAUGAAUGUGCACCAAGCUCAUGAAUAUGAAGUUCUGGAAUUGUGCUUAUCAUAAAUAAGACAUCCCACAUCCUAUUGUUCAUUUCCAGAUGUAUAUUUCUUUCUGGUUUUGUCACAGUCUGAUAAGGACUACAGCUAAUGCUGAUGAACUCGUAGUGUAGGAAAGUCAUCAGGGAGCAAGGGCAGCUUUAUGUAAACACAACCACACCAUGAAUGGCCAGAGUAAAUGAUCAUGGUUUUAAAUUAUGGCUGCUAUUUGCAUUUUUUUUAAUGCAAAGUCUCAUUUGAAGAUCAGCUGAGCCAACUGAAAGUUUGGCAUUUAAUUUCAGUGGCUUCAGUUGAGUUGGAAGAAUGCUAUUAUUGGGAGAAACUAAACCGAGGUCCUGUGCAAAUAUGUAAGAGCAAAAAUAUACAAGAAUAAAAUCAGAUAUAAAUUGGCACACGUAGCCAUUACGAUAGCAUACAUGUUGGUCUCUUAUAAACGCUCCAUGAGCGUAGCUUCAGGAACUGAAAAAGCAGGGUUGGUUCGAUGAUCUGAAAGGAAACUAGCAAAAAAGCGUUGCAGCAACUUUGUUGAAAUGGCUGUUUUCAUUUUCAUUUCCUUUCAUCAUAGUCACAAAACUGUUAUGUAUAAUGAAUGAUAUGCCAGUAUCUUUGCUAUCAUUUCUGGACUUCUGAUUAUCCAGAGUGUUAGGAGGUUUUGUCAGGCCAAUCAGAUACACGGCCUGUCAUUGUAACUGAACACACAUCUAAGUUCAGUUUUAGGAGAGAUUCUAUUGCCACUCUUCAUAGUCUUUUCUGUCUCUUCUAAAAAGCCCUUAUGUUUGCAUUGAACAGUAUCCUCUUGAGGAGCUAUACUGGUACAGGGAGUGACGUCUCCAGCAUUUGGCACUAAUUCGAGUUCUUUUUUCAGUUUCAAAGUGUGUGUGACUUGCAUGCAGUGGAACAAAGUUGCACUCACCCCAAAAUUGAAAAAGGUACUCUUGGUAACUAAUUAGACUCUUCCAUUUUCGAUUUCGGGGUGCAUGCUACUUCAUCUCAUUACAUGCACUUUAAAAGAGAAAAAUGAUCUGUCACUACUGGUGAUGUCAUUUCCACUGCACCAGCAAAACUCCACAACAGGAAAACUGUCCAUCAUUUUUUAUCAUCUCACUUACCUUUACCCUGCUGUGUAUACUGCAAAGAGCUUAUUAUGUGGAAUCAUCACACUGUCUUGACUCCCUACCAGCCAAUGAGAGGAUGAGGAGAGACACAGUAGAAGGAUAUCAGAUUAAAUAUUGUGUUAUAGAAAUGAAACGAAGGCAAGGUGAUGGAGCAGCAGUGCUUCAAUUGUCUUAUAGUAUCUCAUUUGGACAUCACAGUUCUGUGCGUUUUUGUGUUUAAGUAAGGCCCUGUUCUUCGUGGGUGUUACUUCCUAACAAGUGUUUUAUUUAAACUCACAGCUGAAACAUCAACAACAUUGGCUUGUUUAUCUGAGAAUAGUGCCAUUUUUGCUGUUUCUUGCAGAGGCCAUAAUGAGUCACUCCUGCUUCCUUGCUUGGGCUUGAUAUUUUCUUGCUGGGAAUUUUGCCUCACCAAAAUACUAGCAAGCUUUCCUGUUUAUUUCUGAUUGCUACUUCUCUGUAUUAUAAUAUUACCGUUCUAUUCAUUCAUCUCCUGAUUGAAAGCACUGCAAAGCCCCAUAAAUAGCCCUGGCAUAUGAGUUGCAAGAACAAAAAUGCCAGUGAUGAUGAAAACCAGUGGACAGACUAUGUAGGGACUGUUGCCUUUAUUACUCAUGAUAUAUAAGCAUCUUUGAUCGCAGGAAUGUCACAUCAUAUACAGAACCCAUUUUCCUACAUUCAGUAAGUCUUAGAUAUGUUCAGAUAUUCACGUGAGCAUAAACAGGGCUUAUUAAAAUGGAAAUGGGGACAUAUGAAUGCAUGCAAGCCUCACAUUAUUUAGGGCACUGUACCCUGUAGCAUCAAAACCCUUCAUGAACCUUUGGUCUGCAGGGCACUGUGUAACCAUGAGGUCAGUUUGUUUUUACUGAUGAACUUAGUUACAGAGCCUUCUGCAGACCUUGGUGCUCCACUUGCAAAGCUCUCCAAUGCUGAAGGGCAUUGGCACUGCAUGUGCAAUCUCAAUCCCCAGUUUAAGCUCUCAGUGUGUUCUGGCAAAUGCCUAAAUACACCUCUAGGAUGACCAAGAAACAGCCUCCAUGCUAGAGGUAUGCAACUGUACAGAAAUAAGUGUGAUUCUGUAUCUCUGGAAUUAUUAAAGACAGGAAACAGGUUUAACUCCUAAGCUUUCCAAUAAUGCCAUAUUACAACUUUUUGUUUGACUUGUAUAAUAAGUUGUUUAUUCUGUGAGUAAAUAAAGAACAGCAUGAAUUGA